CCUACGGGUGGCAGCAGUGAGGAAUAUUGGUCAAUGGACGAGAGUCUGAACCAGCCACGUAGCGUGAAGGAUGACUGCCCUAUGGGUUGUAAACUUCUUUUAUAUGGGAAUAAAAUGUUCCACGUGUGGGAUUUUGUAUGUACCAUAUGAAUAAGGAUCGGCUAACUCCGUGCCAGCAGCCGCGGUAAUACGGAGGAUCCGAGCGUUAUCCGGAUUUAUUGGGUGUAAAGGGAGCGUAGGUGGAUUGUUAAGUCAGUUGUGAAAGUGUGCGGCUCAACCGUAAAAUUGCAGUUGAAACUGGCAGUCUUGAGUACAGUAGAGGUGAGCGGAAUUCGUGGUGUAGCGGUGAAAUGCUUAGAUAUCACGAAGAACUCCGAUUGCGAAGGCAGUUCACUGGACUGCAACUGACACUGAGGCUCGAAAGUGUGGGUAUCAAACAGGAUUAGAUACCCGAGUAGUC
rnacentral:rRNA from 1 species